CACAAAGCUAACAACAGUUGCAGAGAAUAAGAAUGAAUACCGUGAUGUUUCAAUUUUUGCCUCUUCUCACUCUUUCCCCAUCCACAGAUGCCGUUGUCUUUACCCUUCGGUGCAGUCUUAGUUUCCCUGGGUCAUCUUUGAAGGAUAUGUGGGUAAAGUGCUUCCUUCUUGCUUGGAAUGUAGGCCGCUAUUCUCCCAAGAGCUCUCAAUAGUUUGCAAUCCAGAGGAAGCCCUGGCUGUUCUUAUUGAAGAUUGUCACCCUCUGGGAAGCUGUGAGGUCAAGAAUGGAUUAGUCACUGGAAAAGGAAGUUACAGAAGAACGGACACUGGAUACUCCAAAAGAGGAAGCUACUCUAAUAAGGCUGGAGGCUCCCCAGUAGGUAAUA
rnacentral:lncRNA from 1 species